rnacentral:tRNA from 1 species
GCGGGAGUGAUGGGAACCUGGCAUACCUCGCCGGCUCAAACCCGGUGGCUCUGGGGGUUCGACUCCCCCCUCCCGCA